CUCUCAGACACCACAGUCCAGGAGAGUCUGACAAGGUGGCUUUAUUCCUGAAACUCAGGGACCUGAUCCAACGCGCUGGAAAUUGUGUUUCUUUUCCCAGCUCAGGCUAUUCACCUCAGGCCCCUGUUUUCCUGUCUCCUCCCCAGGAAGGUUGUGAUAAAAAUCAAUGACAUCAUGUCUCACUGGGCCCCAGCCACCCUUCAGGAAGCAGGUGCUUUGGCUGAGUGGAGGCUGGGGCAUUUUUCUGCUGCGCUGGCCUGCAUCUGCCUUUCGAGUAGCCCUAGAGGCCUAACGCUUGAGGUCACCUUCAUGGUUUUUCCAGUGACCUUGGCCAUUAAUGAGCUCCCACCGCUUCCCCAGCUGCAGCUGUAUUAUAGCGCCAGAGUCUUCCAAGCCUGCAGGUUGUGCCAAGCCUGGAGGGAUUUGCAAAAGAAACAUUUGCCUACACCAAGAUCAUGAAGAUGUUUUCUUCUAGAGGAUUUCUAGUUUUAGCUCUUUAUGUUUAAAUUGAGGGAAACUAAAUGUAUGGCCUUAAGGAGCUGUUCCAGCCUGAGACUAUACACCAGCAGAAAGAAACUCACAGCACUGAAAAUAUUGUUCUCCGCCCUCCCUCAUCCCUCUUCCUUCUGAAUGGGAAAAAAGAGUAAGAAGCUUUUCCCUCCAGCUGAAAGCAAAGGAGUACUCUAGCCCUCUGUGAUAGCUGAUGGCAGCAUCUUUGGUGGCUCUCCCAGAGAGGCUGCUCUCUUUGCUGGAAUUUGCCUUGUUCUCUCCUCACUGCUGAAGCACUGUCACUGCGUCCUAAAAAAACACCACAGUAUCCGUAAGACGUUGCCUGUCAUUGGAGGUUUGCUCCUUCUCUCUAUCUCAGACAGGAUUCAAUGAAGAAAACAGAAGCCACUCAGCGCAAGAACAGACUCAUACAGGAUCACUGCAUGUGGAAUCAGGUAAGACAAGGUCAUACUGGAGUAGGAAAGGGGUUAAUCCAAUAUGACUGGUGUCCUUAAAAAAUGGGAAAUUCAUCGAGGGCAGAUUGGAUAAAGGAAAUGUUGUACAUAUACACUAUGGAAUACUUCACAGCUAUAAAAAAGGAGAAGAUUAUGUCCUUUGCAGGUACAGGAAUGGAGCUAGAGGUCAUCAUCCUUAGCAAACUAAUGCAGGAACAGAAAACCAAAUGCCACAUGUUCUCACUUAUAAGUUGAAGGUAAAUAAUGAGAACACGUGGACACAUAGAGGGGAAUAGCACACACUGGGGCCUACUUGAGGGUAGAAGGUGGGAGGAAGGAGAGGAUCAGAAAAAACGAUUGGUUACUAGGCUUACUACCUGGUUGAUGAAAUAAUCUGUACAGCAAACCCCAGUAUCAAGAGUUUACCUAUAUAACAAAACUGCACAUGUACCCCUGAACCUAAAAUAAAAGCUUUUUAUAAAAAGAAAAGAAAAAGGGCUGGGCAUGAUGGCUCACACCUGUAAUCCCAGGACUUUAGGACACCCAGGUGGGUGGACUGCUAAGCUCAGGAGUUCAAGACCAGCCUAGGCAACAUUGCGAAACCCCGUCUCUACAAAAAUUAGCCAGGCAUGGUGGCAUGUACCUGAAGUCCCAUCUACUUGCAGGGCUGAGGCCAGAGGAUCGCUUGAACCCAGGAGGUGGAGAUUGUAGUGAGUUGUAUUUGUGCCACUGCACUCCAGCCUCGUUGACAGAGCAAGGGCAAGACCUUUUCUUUAAAAAAAAAAAAAGAAAGAAAGAAAAGAAAAAGAAAAGACAAGAAAAGAAAAGAAAAGGAUAUAAUCAGCCAAAUUCAAAAUGUGUGAAAUGCUACAAGCUUCCAGGACUGUGAAACAAGACAUUUCUUUGGUUCAAGCCACUCCCUUAGUGCACAUUGUUAUGGCAGCCAUGGAAAACCAUCCACAGAGGGUCAGUUCCUAUGGAGGUGGGCAUUCUGUUCCAUCCCUGUCACUUCGAUGUCUCUCUUUCUUGAAUAUGGAAGCAGCCCUGGGCCCAGCUGCUGCAGGUGGCCAGGAAGGAGCCUGGGAGGAUGACGGGGUUCCUGAUCUGAUAGAACUGGGCUGUGACUAGGCAGAACCCUGUUCCACCACACACACCCCAGUGGAGGUCAGUACCCCAAAUCUGACACCAGGAUGUAGCAUGUCCAUGGAGUCUGUCUGCUGACACCUGUCCCACCCUCCCCUGGCCCGUAACUUUGAGAGAUACUGCAAUUCCUACCGAUGUUGCUGCCAUCCUUUAUUCAGCCCAUUAUCAGAAGUUAUGACACAUUGCAAAAUGCUCAGGCUAGUUGAAUUUCUGCAACAGGGCAAGGCGGUUAAAUCCUGUCCUUCCUGGAGUCUCAUUGACCAGGCUUUGAAUCCCAAUUCUACCAUGGAUUAGAUUUGCAACUUUGGCAAAUUGAUGAACUCUUCUGAGCUUUGGACUAAUAAUAGGGUUUUGUGAGGAAUACCUGAGAUAAUGCAUGUACAACACCUUGCAUGUUGUUUAGCACCUACUAGAAAUGCAACCAACUCUAGCUGUUAUCGCUAGUUUUUCUCUUGCUCCAUCUCCAUUCCUGAGAUGUGCAUGGCUACUCUGUGUUUGUUGUUGGGAAGAGCCGUAGACAGUCGUAUCCUCUUCCUGAGAAUGGUAACUGAGCUGCCCCCUUGGGACUGUCCAGGGGCUGGCCAUUAGCCCCACGAGGCAGCAACAAAACCAACAAGACAAGUCUGUUUACUCUUCUGGUCUAUAAUUUAAAAUGUGUUUGAUGCUACUUUUUUUUUUUCUUUUUAGGACGUUCUGUAUCUGUGAUGAAUGACCCCUGCAUACAUUAUAUCUUUCAGUAAAAACAGUGGUGUUUCAGUAGUGUUACUAGCUAAGCUGCUUAACUCUCACAUUACAGACGUCAGUGAAGCCCCUUGGUAGGUAGUGUCUAAAAUUAGAUUUAUCUGCUUAUUUACACAAUUAUACUCUCAUGAGUUUGAAUGUUGGGGAAAGAUCAAGAAAAAGACCAGAUCACUAGAUGGCAAUAGCACACAAGAGCUUUAUUUGGAUGAAGCUUGGACAGAAUGCAUGGAAGGGGAAAGUCCCUUGCAGCAGAAGACCUUCCAGAGGCAGUGGCAGGGCCACCACCAGAAGAAAAGGGCAAGGACACUCCCAGGGGAGAGGAGGAUCAGAGAGGAGGUUACAGGUCUAAGAGAUGUCACAGGUCUAGAAGAAAAGAAAAGGAGCCAGGUGCAGUGGCUCACACCUGUAAUCCCAGCACUUUGGGAGGCCCAGGCGGGCAGAUUGCUGAGUUCAGGAGUUUGAGACCAGCCUAGGCAAACAUGGUGAAACCCCAUCUCUAAAAAAAGAUUUAAAAAUUAACCAGGCCUGGUGGCAUGUACCUGAAGUCUCAUUUACUUGGGGGGCUAAGGCUGGAGGAUCGUUUGAACCCAAGAGGGUUCAUGGUGGGGAGCAUCAUGGUGAGGAGUCUCUGGGUCAGAGAGCUCCAAAGGACAGCAGCCAUUUGGGGUCUUUUGUAGCCCUGAGGUUCGUCUUACCUAUGGUGAGAGGGUGUCGGGUGUAGUUUUGCAAAUUAUCGAAGCAGGCAGGCUCUAAAUGGGCAAAUAAUAUUUGGCCUACAUUUAAAGCAAUUGGAUGUGCAAGAAUUUGAGUUUGGUGCUGGCAGGCUUGAGUUAACGGUCCUGGGCUGUGGUGUGGAAGUAAACAGCAUGGGGGCCAAUACACAGGGGCUGUCUUGAACUCGUUCAUACAAUCCAUUUAUAACCUGUUUAUAACUUGUUUAUAACCCAUUUAUACCACAUACCCCUAAAGCAAAUACCUAGCAGAUAGCAUGCAGGGCCUAUUUGCCUGGCCUCCUUCAAUGGCAUCACAUUCUCCACCACCACGAUGGUUAAUAUGGACGAGCCCUAGCAGCUGCCCAGUGAAGUCCACACGCUACUGCCCAAACCAGCUCAAGUCCUUAGUUGUCAUGAAAAUAAUGUGAGUUCCCACAGCCGUAAAAGGGAAAGCAGCAAGAGCCACAUGAGCAUCCCCGGAACCCUGGGAACAGUCAUCAGUGUCAUCUUCAGGGUCAUGUCCCUACAAGCAGUUCUCAGGCUCCUGCUGAGGGUCAGAACAGAGCCGAAGUCACAGGAUAUCAAAAAUGGAUAAGCCCAACCUCAGCUCGCAGAGGAAUUGCUCAGCUGACAGAUGAUUGUGUUAUCUCAGUGAAGCCAGAUGACAAUGUACUUGGCCAACGGAACAUCUUGGUCAAUGGAUCUCCAAGUUGGUUAUAAAAUUAAAGCAAAAUAAUGCCAUUAUAUGUAAGAUGUCAUUGAUUGUAAGAUGCUCCUUUAUUUGAUGUACCACUAAUAAAUAAAAACACUGACAUUUAAACAAUGACAAUUGCAUAACACAUCUGCUUGUUCAAUGUUAAAUAUGAAAAAAUGUGC
rnacentral:lncRNA from 1 species